AGAUACAGGAUUAGAUACCCUGGUAGUCCACGCCGUAAACGAUGUCGACUUGGAGGCUGUUCCCUUGAGGAGUGGCUUCCGGAGCUAACGCGUUAAGUCGACCGCCUGGGGAGUACGGCCGCAAGGUUAAAACUCAAAUGAAUUGACGGGGGCCCGCACAAGCGGUGGAGCAUGUGGUUUAAUUCGAUGCAACGCGAAGAACCUUACCUGGCCUUGACAUCCAGAGAACUUUCCAGAGAUGGAUUGGUGCCUUCGGGAACUCUGAGACAGGUGCUGCAUGGCUGUCGUCAGCUCGUGUUGUGAAAUGUUGGGUUAAGUCCCGCAACGAGCGCAACCCUUAUCCUUUGUUGCCAGCGAUUCGGUCGGGAACUCAAAGGAGACUGCCGGUGAUAAACCGGAGGAAGGUGGGGAUGACGUCAAGUCAUCAUGGCCCUUACGAGUAGGGCUACACACGUGCUACAAUGGCGCAUACAAAGAGAAGCGACCUCGCGAGAGCAAGCGGACCUCAUAAAGUGCGUCGUAGUCCGGAUCGGAGUCUGCAACUCGACUCCGUGAAGUCGGAAUCGCUAGUAAUCGUGGAUCAGAAUGCCACGGUGAAUACGUUCCCGGGCCUUGUACACACCGCCCGUCACACCAUGGGAGUGGGUUGCAAAAGAAGUAGGUAGCUUAACCUUCGGGAGGGCGCUUACCACUUUGUGAUUCAUGACUGGGGUGAAGUCGUAACAAGGUAGC
rnacentral:rRNA from 1 species